UGGGGAAUAUUGGACAAUGGGGGCAACCCUGAUCCAGCGAUGCCGCGUGUGUGAAGAAGGCCUUCGGGUUGUAAAGCACUUUAGGUGGGGAAGAAGAUAUGGAGUUUAAGAGAUACUAUAUUUGACUGUACCUGCAGAAUAAGCACCGGCUAACUCUGUGCCAGCAGCCGCGGUAAUACAGAGGGUGCAAGCGUUAAUCGGAAUUACUGGGCGUAAAGGGCGCGUAGGUGGUUGUAUAAGUGGGUUGUGAAAUCCCUGGGCUUAACCUGGGAAUGGCAAUCCAGACUGUAUGACUAGAGUACUGUAGAGGGUAGUGGAAUUUCCGGUGUAGCGGUGAAAUGCGUAGAGAUCGGAAGGAACACCCGUGGCGAAGGCGGCUACCUGGACAGAUACUGACACUGAGGCGCGAGAGCGUGGGGAGCAAACAGG
rnacentral:rRNA from 1 species